rnacentral:pre_miRNA from 9 species
UCUCGAUAGCGUAAAAGUUAAGUCAAGUUUGCAUGUAGUUGAAACGCCUGCCUACGUUUGCCGCUAGGGACGCUGUUCCAACUGCAUACAACUUUGAGUUAACUUUUACGCUAUCGA